UACAGAGGGUGCAAGCGUUGUUCGGAAUUAUUGGGCGUAAAGGGCGCGUAGGCGGUGCGGUAAGUCCGCAGUGAGAUCUCUGGGCUCAACUCAGAGUCUGCUGUAGAAACUGCCGUGCUUGAGUGUGGGAGAGGUGAGUGGAAUUCCCGGUGUAGCGGUGAAGUGCGUAGAUAUCGGGAGGAACACCUGUGGCGAAAGCGGCUCACUGGACCACAACUGACGCUGAGGCGCGAAAGCUAGGGGAGCAAACAGG
rnacentral:rRNA from 1 species